UACAGGGGGUGCAAACGUUGCUCGGAAUUACUGGGCGUAAAGCGUGCGCAGGCGGUUUUGUAAGCCAGAUGUGAAAGCCCCGGGCUCAACCUGGGAAUGGCAUUUGGGACUGCAAGGCUUGAGUGCGGCAGAGGAGACUGGAAUUCCUGGUGUAGCAGUGAAAUGAGUAGAUAUUGGGAGGAACACCGGUGGCGAAGGCGGCUAUCUGGACCGGUACUGACGCUGAGACGCGAAAGCCAGGGGAGCAAACGGG
rnacentral:rRNA from 1 species